CUCCUCAGCAGUGGAAAAAGAGAAACCCUGAUGGUGGUGGUGUCCUUAUAUCAGUCAGGGGCAGAGCAGAUGGUAGUCCUUUGUUUAUCCUAGCUUGAUGUCCCACUUAGUGGGCAAAGCUGCUUUAUGCCUUGGACUCAUAC